UACGGGGGGAGCAAGCGUUGUUCGGAUUUACUGGGCGUAAAGGGCGCGUAGGCGGUCAGCACAAGUCAGUUGUGAAAUCUCCGAGCUUAACUCGGAAAGGUCAACUGAUACUGUGCGACUAGAGUGCGGAAGGGGCAACUGGAAUUCUUGGUGUAGCGGUGAAAUGCGUAGAUAUCAAGAGGAACACCUGCGGCGAAAGCGGCUCUCUGGACCACAACUGACGCUGAGGCGCGAAAGCUAGGGGAGCAAACAGG
rnacentral:rRNA from 1 species